rnacentral:lncRNA from 1 species
GACCAGGACACAAACUCAACACUAGGGACUCUGAAACUGAAAUAUGCAAAGGCUAUGGCGCGGAUGGGUUGUAGGACAUGAAAACAAUAUGGCAAUAGACUUAUGGGACGCACACAAGGACACUUCAAACUAAGGGUAGAUGUGAACCUAACGAUAUGUCUGAAGCUUUGAUUACCACUUCAGGAGAACAAGUGUGGCCCGAUCUUCCGAAACUUUCUGGUAACUAUCGAUUUGGUGGAAACGAGAGACAUAUAAAUCCAGCUUGCGAACAACACAAUUCGAAACCCUGCAAUUCUUUUUAUUUUUUUUGAUAUUUUUCUUUUACUAAGGAGCACUCAAGAAGUAACCACAGGAAAUUUGAGCUUAAACAAGUGAAAGACGUGGCCUGUUGAAUUUUUUGAAGAUUGUGAA